GUGCUCGGUCAGGGGUAGGGCUCUGUCAGAUCUCCCGGGUCCCUUGGGCGCACCGCUGGGUUUAGACCAGAAGAAACUUCACAGGUUGGAUUGAAAAGCCAGAGGGGUCUAUGGAAAUUUCCAGGCCUGGCACUGGAAGGAGGAUCUCCCUGUCAGACAAAGGAGGAUCCCAAGCCCUUCCGUGGUCACCUACGGGUCAGAGCCUGACAAGCAGCAACUGCUCCUGAGGACCUUCAGACUUGGAGGAAGGACUUAGUAAGAACCUUGGAAACUGGACUUGGUGUAUACCUGCAAUCCCAGCUACUUGGGAGGAUGAGACUAUGAUUGACUGCAGAAAACUGAAACUGCGGAGAGUGAAUCUGUGGGUCAGAGCAACUACUGGACUGGUUCCCUCCUCCUGGCUAACCUUGUUCUCAGUUGAGCCCAGCCUUUGCAGACACCCAGAGGCAUUGCUGGCGGCAGCCACUCCCAUCUUACACACCAUGGGGCUGACGUGCAGACUCUCAGGGCACUUACUCUCAGGGUUACGAGAGUAUAGGGGUGGCUUGGGAGAGUCUCCUUAAAUUCUGCACCCCAGAGCUUCCCCCAACCCACUGAGAUGUGUGGG
rnacentral:lncRNA from 1 species